rnacentral:tRNA from 6 species
CGCGGGGUGGAGCAGCCUGGUAGCUCGUCGGGCUCAUAACCCGAAGGUCGUCGGUUCAAAUCCGGCCCCCGCAACUA